GUUCUGCAUCCUAUCUGCAUUCUCUCCCCAUAAGGUUCUGCAUCGUAACUGCGUUCUCUCCCCAUAAAGUCUGGCAUCCAUUCUGCCCCCUCUGGGGGGUGCAGCUGUCACAGAAAGUCAUCCAAAGUCCUCUGGGCAGGCUGGUAGGUCUCCAUGGCAGUGCUGCGCUCUGGGUUAUUCCCAGUAAUGCUGCCUUCCUGUAACAUGUUCUCCAGCCAGACUGGAUCUAUUCUCCAUUCAAGUGAACCGGUGCAAUGCCCUCCUGAUGGUGGGACCCAGUGUAGACCCAGAACCAUUCCAGCUCGACCCUGUUCCUGUUUGUGUGCAUCUCUGCACAGUGGACACUAAUUGGGCUUCUUGAGAAAACCUGGACUGCAGCAAUAAAACUGUGAAGAGCUCAGCAGUCUGCCUGUGAACAAAGGAAGCGUGAUGCCCUCAGUGAGGAUCUUCAUAAAACAAUGUCUAGCCAUCAUAGUGUUUUUAAACAGGGAAGGGGUCGAGAGUUAAAUUCAUUUCACGCAAAAUCUACUCUUGGUGCUCUUGCCAUCAUUCAAGUCUCGCCAUUAAGUGACCCCCACAAGCGUGGAUGAGCAGGUAGUGACUCAUGCAGGGGAAGCCUGAUUUCCUCUGUAAAGUUUGUAGGAAAAUUCACUAAAGAGCAUGAGACGACAAAAAAAGCAUCAACGAUCUGGAACACUCACUCAUCAACACUAAGAUGAUUGCUGUUGAACAGUCUCGAUUAACGGCAAAGGUCAGCUGAGUGAUUUCACUGCUGGAACCCUGAGCAAGGCCCUUAACCCCCAAUUGCUUCAAAGACUGGCUGACCCAACCUUCUCAAUUGUACAUGGCUUUGGAUAAAAGUGUCUGAUAAAUAAAUAAAAUGUCGAUGUAAAAUGAGGCAUCCAGCGCACAUCAAUAAAAUCCAGAUAAUCUGGCCAGAUAA